rnacentral:tRNA from 1 species
AUUUUCUUAGUAUCAAAUAGUACAGGUGACUUCCAAUCACUUAGCCUUGGUUAAACUCCGAGAGAAAAUA